rnacentral:misc_RNA from 1 species
GUAAAGUUAUUGUACGACAAGUCACUGUGUACAAGAAUUAGAGAAAAAAGUUAGUGGCUUACCCUAAAAAAUUUUUCAAACCAAAGCCAUGUAUUGGCUGAGAAAACAUAACAAUAUUGAGGCAACUUCACAAAUCACAUCUAAAAUGAAAACUUAAUCUGCUUGCUAAUUCAGCCUUCCUGCAGUAUUCAAAAUAAUGAGAAGAAGAAAACAAAUGAAAACAGGGAUAUCUAAGAAAAGAACGAGAUGAAACUGAAAGCUGGAGAAAAAACUGGAAGCAUCAUACUGUUCCAGUAACAGGUCAAUGCUGUGACUUCAAUAUAACUGGCAGCUAUCCACACAUGUCACUUGCCUCUCAAAUGCUAGCAAGCUAAGGAACAGAUAUGAGGGACCCAAAAACAGAGUGGUACACUUCUGAUUUCAAGUAAGCAGAUUAUUAUGCUGUUCAACUAUUUGAAAAAAAAAAAAGGGAAAAGAAAAGAAAAGA